UUGGCAUUUCUUAUUAUUUUUUAGUCUGUCUAUUACAAAAAUGGCUGCAAACCGUCGCAAGCAAGACGACAAGAAUUUAGAAAUUUUACGUGAACUUAUAUCUAUUAAUGGAAACAAAUAUUGUUUAGAUUGCAACCAAAGAGGACCUACGUAUGUUAAUGUUACAAUCGGUUCGUUCGUUUGUUCAAAAUGUUCGGGAAUGCUACGUGGUCUGACGCCUCCCCAUCGAGUAAAGUCGAUCUCAAUGGCCACAUUUACCCCGGAAGAGAUAGAAUUUAUAAAAGUGAGAGGAAAUGAUUACUGUAGGCGCGUUUGGUUAGGCCUGUACGAGGGUGAAAGUGUGAACUUUACUGAUGAACAAAGUGUGAAAGAUUUUAUGUCGGACAAAUACGAGAAGAAACGUUACUAUCUCGAGCAGCCGCUGAAUAAUACUGUUACGAACGGAAGUUUAUCAUCGAAGAGUAAGUCAAAAGCCAAAAGCGGAAGUGCUGCAGCGAGCUCAUCACAGCUGAUAUCAAUAGCGAGCCCAGCGCCGAAGUCGACAGUUAACAAUAACACGCUCGGGAAUGCGCCCAAACUGGGAAAUAGCUUUUUCUGUGGAGGUAAUGAUGUCAGCAUGAAGAUAGCUCGGCCGGUGCACAGCAUACCCCAGCCCAACCCGCUCGCGGCGCCGCCCGUCGUCGCCCCUGCUCCAGUACCUGAUUUUCCUGUUGACUUUUCAACUGCAAAUAUUUAUAACAGUAGCCAGUUUAAUAAUAAUGUAAACAACAAUUAUGUGCCGGCCCCAUCCACCACUACAGGUUUUGCAGCUUUCACUCCUCCAUCAUCUACUGCUAAUGAUCGCUAUGCAGCAUUAGCAGAUUUAGAUCAUGCAUUGAGACAGCAAAACAUGAAGUCAAUGGAGGAAGGUAACAAUAUAAAUAGCAAAAAUCCGUUCCAAAGUGCGCCAACCAAUGACUUCUUCGGCAGUAAAAACCCUUUCUUCAAUGGGAGUUGGAGCGCUACUCCGGCGCCUGUGCCUGUUAAUCCUUUCAUGCCUUCUUCUAACACUGGGAACUAUGUUAAUUCGAAGAAUCCUUUUCUUUGAAGAGGUGGUCCAUGUUUUGGAGACGAAAGAACAAAUGUAUGCAACAAAAAGCACAAAAUUAGCUACAAAUUUACUAUAGUAUACAUUUUUAAAUAAUAUAUUAUGUUUUUACAAAUUUCUCGGUGAUAUUAUAUUGGCAUUACAACUAUUUAUCAGUCUUAGAUUAAUGUGCUUAAUUUUAGCAACGGAUGUGCCUCUUUAUGCCUUAACAAGAUGUAAAUUUCUCAGUAUAUAUUAGGCAAGUCAAUGUUGUGAAAGUAUUGUAUUAGUAUGUCUGGUUUAGUUUAAAUCAAUCAAUCAGGAAAUCUGAGUGUGAGCAUGUUGCAAGGCAACUUGCUGUGUCCAAUUUAUUCAAUUUAAAUUGUCCAUUAUGUGGUUAGGAACUGCUCAGUAGGGCCUUAUUAGGAUUGACUGGGGCUAGUUUUUGUAGGUUGGGACAAUUAUGUACCUAUGUAUAAUAUGUAUAUUGUAUACGAUGACGUAAUUCGCGACGCUCUGAUGAUCUUAUCACACCCAACUUGCAGUUUUCGUGCUUUAAUCGUUUUCUCAGCAAAUAUUUGAGAUAUAUUGCAAUUAUUGUACCUAAAGUUAUCGAGCAUAUACUAGGUAUUAAAAGGAAUAUUUCUUUUAAUUAUAUGGGAUAUCCGAUUAAUUUGAAAACAAUUUUGUGGGAUUUUUUUUGAGACAACCCCAUUGCGGUUAUUCUGAGAAAUAAGUAAUAUAAGUAGAUGUAUAAUAUGAAUAAUAAACAUAAAUAAAUGAGGCAGAGACCAUUCCACAUGAGGAGGAAUUUCCUUAAAUUAACUGACAAUCGUAUUGUUUGUAUGCACUUACACAAUCGGUAAAAACGUAACGAUUGGAUGAUUAUUUCAUCCACACAUAAUAUAAAUGCCAAUCUAGUCAGAUUAUGAAUGAAAUUGUGUUCUGAUAACUGUUUGAAGCAGCCGAGUCAUAAUAGAUACGUUGGCGUGAAUAUCAGUGUGUUAAAAUUAGCAGUUUAUAAUAACGUAACUUUACUGUGGCAUAAUCGCUUAUUAUUUCAUUAUAGAAUAAAGAUAAAGGUAUCUAGGAUACUUAUUUCCAGCCAUUGCAUCAUAUUACCAAUAAUGCAGUAAAUUAGUGAGACUACAAAACGAGAUUAGUAUUUAGAUUAGGCAACCAGCUGUGUGUGAUGAGUCAUCGGGCGCGCGGUGCGGCCUUAUUUUCAUAGUCAUGCCCGCCAUGAGGAAGCGAACUUAGUACCUAAAUGUUACUGUUUCCAUCCAAUUCAACGCAUCUACACAUGUUUAUCCUAGGGGUGAUAUUAAUUAAGAAUACGUAGCCGAGAAGUAGGAAGCGACCAAACAUUUCCACACAAAGUAUUUUAGUCAUGUAAAGCUUUUAUCUGGAUGGAUUGUUUAUUUACACAUCAUUAUGAAGUUUUAGAGGCUUAACAUUGUUAUUAUUUUUUAUCAAUUUGUUUCCUGAUUAAUGUCUACGUGUUUAUUAUCAUGAAUUGUUUUAUAUCCGACUAUGCCAUCUUAUCUAGAAUUAUAUAAUUAUAUAUUUCUAUCGUAUAUCAAGUAUUGAUUACUUUUACUGGUUAAAAAAACCAUGACAAAAGUAGGAUAUGUGUUUUUAUAAGAAUCAUUUUUAUGUCGUAUGAUUUGAUUUCAUUUAUGAAUUUAUUGUAUGUUUGGUACUUGACGCCUAAUCAUAUAAGUACCAGCUUCAAUAGUUAUAGCUCACAUCACAUCUAAUCAUAAUUUGUUUCGUCUAAUACAUAUCUGAAGCCGGCUAUCCAUCAACAGACUAUAUAGUGGAAGUUAAUUGUAAUAGGUAUUAUGUAUUUACAUGUAUCUACUAUGAUCAGUUAAACUGAUAAGUGAAGCUUAUAGCUGUACAUUUACAUUUAGCCGGCGUAAACAAGCUCUCAAAUCAUGUGCUUGAUCUGGUCUGUGAUUUAAAUCAGUAACUUUUUUAGUAAUCCUAAUCAUUUAAUUGCGAACAAUCUUUACUUAUCAAUGCACUAUUAUUUAUUAAUUAGUUAUUAAAUUAACGUAUUGUUUUUUAUUUGAGCACCAAGAUCUGUUAUGUUGUAUUAAUGGUGUAAAAAAUAAACACUUAUUUUUUUUAACAA